AUCGGAAUAGAGAGUGGUGUGUGGCGAUGGUGGUGGAUACAGCGAAGCAAGCGGAGUAAUUCUGAACCACUACAGGCGGUGUACUAUUUGGGGGCGACGAAGAAGUCUCCUCCACGAUGACGAUGACGAUGACGAUAGAUAAGAGCGCAGAGCAUGCGAAGCACCGAUGAUGAUGGUGAUGACUAAUGGAAUAAAGUAGAUUGAAGCAGAGAAGAUUUAAAAAUGAAAAAAAUAACAACAGAUAUAAUAUCCGGUCAACCAGGAGGCAAGAGGCCAAGACAGAGGUAGAGGAAACAGAAAACAGCCUCUCCCUCCGACCGGAUGAUAUGACUCGAUUGGUGGCCCCAUGAUGUCGAUGUAGCGGAGUUAAGCGCCAUCUGCAAUUCCAAUUCUGAUUCUGACCUCUAGGUUCUACCUCCCGUCUUUCCGCACUGUCACAAAAUCCGUGAACCACUUCCCCUACUUCGAAGUCGCAAACGUAGCAUACAUCCCUCUCCAAGCCGAGCUGCUACUUUGCCGCUGCACACUUCGACACUUCCUUGAGUGUACCCCUCCUAACGGAAAACCAAACUUUUGUUCCUGUCGAUGAUGUCUAGGUUUUGUAACCUCUUUUUGUUGUUUAUAUUCUUCGUAUUGAGAUGUCUGGUGAUUCAGUUUCAUCUGCAAGAGACUAGGCUUCUAACUUCACUUGAUGAUUUUCAAAGAGAUUCGUAUUGAUUUUGAAGCUACUACUGCUCUGCUCUGGGGUCGAGCUCUCCUACUCCGUUACUUCUUGCAUGUAAAAUAAUAUUUGAAGAAAAUAAAUGAACGACUCUAAUAAUUAGAAAUUCGAUCUAGUUAAUGGUUUUAUUUUGCAACAAGUCAGAGGUGAUAUUUUAUGUUUGUACUUCCGGCAGAUUAAGAUAUGAGUAAUCGUAAAAAAUUAAAACCAACAGCCACAGGGGUUUACAUAGUUGUUGAGUAAGAGUAAAUAUGUUUUUUUAUUCCUUGGCAUGGUGUACUCCAUACAUACGAAUAAAACUCAUAAUUAUUAAUUUUAUAAAUAUAUCUACAUAUGUAUACAGUUGAUGAGUAUAUAAAUAUUUCCAAUAAGUCUUGAGAUGUUAUUCCUAAUAAAGACUAACGCCUCUACGUCUGUAUGUCAAUCUAGGACACAGUCAAUAGAUCCGAAGACCUUGUAGUUAUAUAGAGUUGACGCGUGCGUCCAAGUCUGCUCUUUAUGAGUAACGCUAAUGUCCGUGUAAAAGACAUGCUUUUCCUCUUGUAAUACGAUGCUUCAAAUGAUAUUUAUGCUUUUAAUUGUCAUCCUCGAGGUUUAUACUUAUACUUACUAGAAAAGGAAAAAAAAAAAAGAAAAUGUUACAAUAAAUGGCUGUUAAAUUUAAUACUUUUAUAAUCUGAGUCUUUUAAUUCUACUUCCGCUGUAUUAAAGCCACGGAAAUAUAUUUAUUUUACUCAUCAAAUAUUACUAUCAGCCAUUGACUCUAAUUUUUAUGCUGUUUCGUAAUUUAUAUAUACAUAAGUGUCCGUUUACGUAUGUAGAUCUAUAUAUACACAGGCAUACAAAAUGGUAGAAGAAAAUUUCUACUGUAUGAUAUGUAAAGAUAAUUUUAAUAAAUGUACAUUUAAGCGAAAUUGAUUAUUUUACUGUAAUUAUUGUAGAAAGUAAAAAAUCAAUAUGGGUAUGGCUUUGUUGUUGAUUUUCUAUUGAAAAAGGAUUAUUUUAAUAAUUAUAUAUUAUGUAACGAAGAAUGAUUUGGAGUAAUAAGUCGAUAAAUGGAAGAACUACUUUGUAAUAUAGCUAGGCAAACGCUAAUUACCGGAGCGACUUCAACAGAUGAAAAAAAAAGGUCGAGUAAUUGUCAAAAUAAAAAAGCCGCAUUUAAAGAAAAAGAUAAUAGUUGUUGCCAUUAUCUUUUCCAGCUCUUGAAACAAUAGCAAAUCAUGGAUCAUGAAAAGACCCUCAAUCUUACUGCUGAGCAGUCAUCCUUGUCGGCGAUGGCAUAAAAAAGAAUCCAUCAAGAGGUAUACAGUGUUACCAACUUGUUGAAUUACUGUCAUCGUACCAAUGAAUGAGAUAAACAAAAAUAUAUUAUAAACACGUGGUUUGAUGUUGUCAAGGUCAAUUAUCUUUAAGAUUACAUAGGUAUAUCGCUCGAUAGCAGCUAGUGGCCGUGGGAUGCCGCCAAAUUUUAUUUGCUAGGAAAAUAUGACAACUCAAAUCAACUCUGAGGCCUCUGACAAUUUUCUUUUUUAUAUAUAUAUUAAAUACAAGUAUUAAGCGUGAUAGCGCUUUCAGUAAUAUAACCAUUGUCUCUUUAAUGCACAACAGAGUUUCACAUUCAAUAUUUAUACUAAAAUUCGUUAUAAAAAAAAAUUAUUUAUUAUAAAAAAGAGCGCUUGAAUAU